rnacentral:lncRNA from 1 species
GAAAAUUGGAUUCUGUUGGUUUUCUUGAUUACUAUUUGUAUAUAUUAAUUAUACAUAAUAUGUGCUGGCUAUCUUCUGUUACGUCUCUUACAAUUAUUCGAGUAUACUAAUGGCUUUCGAUAUUUACAAUAUUAUUUGGUUUCGAUAAUUCACUAUAAUUCUUUUAAAUUCAACAAUCAACCUCUAUAUUUAUACUUUUAUCAACCUUAUGAAUUUCACAUGCCAUAGCUAAUAUUUGUUACACUAAAAGAAUGUUAUAGUAAAAGAAGUUAGAAUGCUAUAUAAAGCCUUUACAAUAGUUGUAAACGGGCUAAUUUGCCCGAGUCAACCAAAAUACAAAAUAAAUGUAAAAUCCAAAAAAAAAAUAUAAAACAAAAUAAAUACUGUCCAAAUUACAGCCCAGAUCACUUGGCCCAAUUUCACAAAUGAUCCAACAAAGAAAUAGGCCCAGAUGGCCCAAAAGUUAAAACACUACAGAAACCCUAGGGCUUCUCCCACUUUGCGCCGCAGCCGAGCCCCAGCCUCCAUGUGCCUUCAGCAUCGUACGACCGCCACGCGCGCUUCCGUACGCCUCACGCCAAGUCCCAACACAUGCCCCGUAACCCGUAACUUUAAACGAACAAAAGAACGACAGCAAAAAGCAAGAAAAAUAUUGUAUUUUUAUAUUUAUUUUUCUUUUAGAUUUCGGCUAUAAAGCAAGACAAACAAUGUAUUGAUUUUUUUUACGCAUAAAAAACACGCAAUAGAAGGUAAUCAAAUAUAAAAAAAAAAUAGAGAAAGAUGAUUUUUUGCUUUCGAUUUCUAUACUCUUUUUCUUUUACUUCUUUCUUUUUACUGGCAUUUACUCAAAUCCUUCAUCAUUGCAUUUAGAAAAAUAAAAGAAAAGGGAUAAGAUAAACUUUACCUUGCAAAUAUGCCGUAGAUCUCUUUUGGCUUCGUCGAAAUCGAACUCAAAAUGAAAUUUCGAGGCUAAAAAAUGUCCCUCAAGGCAUGAAGGUACUGAUCGCCAUUUAGGGAGGUGAAUCGGUGCUUAAAAGGAGGGCUAGAGUUCAGCUGAAGAGAAUGAAAUGGGGAAGCUAGAGUUGUUUUCAUGGUUCGGCUGAAUGAAGGCCUCAUUUGGCUUCUAUAAAGAAGCAAAAACGGUGCCAUUUAAACCAUCUUCAAUGGUUUAAAAAGACGUCGUCUGGAGCCAGCCCGACUUGAUCCGGUCCGUCGCCCCUGGAACCUGUGCGUUUUUACGGUGAGGGGAUAUUUACACGAUAGGUCCUCCCCUUUCGCGUGUGCAUUCAAUCGCACCUUAUCUGUUUUGCUUUUUUUUCUUAAAUUAGUUCUUUAAUUUGUACGCAUUUUCAUUUUAGUCCGAUGUACAGCGCAGCGUUUUGGUCUAGGGGAUAUUUCUAUUUCUAGCCCCCAUAUAUUUGCGCGGAUUACUUAUUGAUCCAAUUUUUGAUUAUUUUAUUUAUAAAUUAUUCCUCUUAUUUUAAUUCAGUUUUAAUUUAGUUUUCUAUUUGUAUAACUUACCAUUUUAACAUAUUUAAUAUUUCUAUGCUGAUCUGUUUUAAUCAUUUUGUUUGGUUCUAUUUGUACAAUUGUUUUUGAAGAUUAUUU